CUGAAAAACUAAAUCUUUAGUUCUUUCAUACCCCAUUGUUGACUUUACCAUGUUGCUUCCACGUGGACAGGCUUCACUUUGUGUAAGCCCUUUGGCCUGUUGUGCAAACACACACUUGACAAAGAGUUGCCCGUGGUAAGAUCCUACAACAAAACUUGCAGAAACCAAAUGUCUGAUAUCUCAUUGUAAAUGAAAUA
rnacentral:misc_RNA from 1 species